rnacentral:rRNA from 1 species
GGAAACUCCGUGUCAAAGUGCCCAAUCUUGGGCUGUCUAUCGAAAGGGAAUCGGGUUAACAUUCCCGAACCAGGACGUGGAUGCUAAGCGGUAACGCAAGCAAAGCUGGGGACGGCUGCGGGGGCCCCGACAAGAGUUUUCUUUUCUUGUUAACGAGUGCAUCGACCCUGGAAUCGGAUUGACCGGAGAUAGGGUUGACGGCUCGGGAAAGGCGGUUACUUUUGGACCGUUUCGGAGCGCCCUCGACGCCCCUUGAAAACCUGGCAGCGUGUCUUAUUCGCACCCCUGGUCGUACUCAUCACCGCAUCAGGUCUCCAAGGUUAGCAGCCUCUAGUCGAUAGAAGAAUGUAGUUAAGGGAAGUCGGCAAAAUGGAUCCGUA